rnacentral:rRNA from 1 species
GACGAACGCUGGCGGCGUGCUUAACACAUGCAAGUCGAACGGAAAGGCCCUGCUUUUGUGGGGUGCUCGAGUGGCGAACGGGUGAGUAACACGUGAGUAACCUGCCCUUGACUUUGGGAGAACUUCAGGAAGCUGGGGCUAAUACCGGAUAGGAGCUCCUGCUGCAUGGUGGGGGUUGGAAAGUUUCGGCGGUUGGGGAUGGACUCGAGGGUUACGAGCUUGUUGGGGGGGUAGUGGCUUACCAAGGCUUUGACGGGUAGCCGGCCUGAGAGGGUGACCGGCCACAUUGGGACUAAGAUACGGCCCAGACUCCUACGGGAGGCAGUAGUGGGGAAUAUUGCACAAUGGGCGGAAGCCUGAUGCAGCAACGCCGCGUGCGGGAUGACGGCCUUCGGGUUGUAAACCGCUUUCGCCUGUGACGAAGCGUGAGUGACGGUACUGGGUAAAGAAGCACCGGCUAACUACGUG